CAUGUUUUACGUCCAUUCUCUGCCACUGGCACCUUAAUCAGUUUCAUUUGGCCCACCUGCGUUAUGCCUGUCAGUUUCAUUGCUUUCACCUGAGUCAUGCCACAUAUAUCUCUUCUGUCCUGUCUACUCCUUGCAGGAGAAAACCGUUUGUUCAUGGAAAAACCAAGAUUGUCCGUGUCCUUAACUGUUUGCCAUGCCAUGCCAGUCCUGUCCAUGUCUGUGUGUUCUUGCCAUGUCUCCACUUUCAUGCCAAAAUCUGCUACCUCCUGUCUGCUGCUGUCGGGCACAGAUAAGGUGUCUUGGCAGGGAGCUGGAAUGCUGUCCUUCGCCUCACUGUGUGAGAAUCCAGGAAUCUUUGUUCACACUAAGUGGCUGGAACAAUAGAAACGGCUAAAGCAGUUGGGAUGGAAAGCACACAGAAACAUGAAGAGCAGAAAAAUUGUAUCAAGUACUAUCACAGAUUUGUUGUCAGAAGUGAAUGCCAUGUUUCCCCCCCCCCCUCUCAUUUAAUCGUGUUUGAAGGUGGUUCUUUAAUGUAUUUCCUUAUGGGAAAUUCUUAACCUUUAAAUCCCACUAGUCAGAAGUCAUUUUUGUUGUUUUUUUUUUACCUUUGUAAAAUACUUUUUUUGUAUUUCUCCAGUGGGCAAACAUUGUGCCUUUAGCAUUGUGUACACAAUGACUCACUCAGUAAGAACUAAAGAACAAAAUACUACUAAAAUAAUUAAAGAAAUGCAUAACAUUUCUACUAACAAUUUAGCAUUUGAUAUUCUUGUUUGCAGGCAAUUUUAAAACACAUUUAUAAAAUAAUCUCAUGAAUUUAUUGUAUCUUAUGGUAAAAUCAAACAUCUCACAACAAUGCACAACAGUUUGGUGCUAAUGUCGGCCAUCAUCCUAAUUCUUCUAGGAUUCAAUAGAUCACAAAUUUUGUGGAUGUCACAAUUUCCAAUAUCCCCUUGCACGGUUUCAAUGUGCAUCUUACAUUUCUAAGUCCAUAAUUCUGCUUCUGGAUUCAACCACUAUCAUUGUACAAGUGUAAAAGAUAAAGAGCUUACCUAGUUACCUAGUUAUCCCUGUGUUGGAGCAGUAUCCUAUGCUGCCCUGCAGAACCCCAGUUGUUGCAAACAUGAAUAGGAGACACUACAGUGCCCAUAACAACAUAGGUAAGUGAGUUAACUUGGGCAAAAUCACAAUUCAAAUGUAGAUAUUGUAAAACUGAUAAUGUGCAGUUGGCUAUUUUAUCAUAGACUUAAACUACUGAGUUUUGAAGCAUAAACAUGGCACUGAUUUCAAUUAACUUUAAUGUGGUGCAGUGGGCUGGGCUCAAUAUCAGCAAAUGCCUAAUCCUAAAUGACUCAAAUCAAUAUCAGGGAUAAAAUACCCUUACACUUUACACAAAUCCAUAUCCCAUUAAACUCAUUUUUUACAUCACAAAACAAUAUUUAUAUAACUGAGCUGGGGAUUGUGGUAUUGAGGUUGCAUGCAUAACAAGGAACAUUACAGGCUUUACACUUAAUCUUUUUAUAAAUUUUUAAAAUAUAAACUUCCACUUCCAUAACUUUCCAUUUUGUUGUGUAAGGUUGCUUUUUUGGUUUUCUGUAAUUACGUUUAAUAAUGAAAAAAACUGAUCCAUUCAAACAUGAAAAAUGUAUGCACAGAUUGCCUAAAAAUAGACUAUGAAAAUGCAUUGUUUACCACCUUUUAAAAUGCCCCCUUCAGCAAAUAACAAAAAUGGGGUGGAGGUUAACAAAACAUAAUUAUUUUUCUCUGUCAUGCAAAGUUCCACAAUCAUUUGUGUCUGAUUUAUUUGGAUGAAUGAAAUCAUGUAUGUUAAAUAUCUGAUGUUAUUUAGUGUUGUUUUUGCACAUUUUAUGAGCAGAAACAAUUGGUUAACAACAGAUGUGUGGUCAAGAGAAGAAAAUGUGGUAGAUUGAUGGUCACUGUCUUAGUGAAAGUUAUUUUUUUAAACACCGUUUUUCUUGGGUAUCUUAACUGCUACAGAUUUCACUAACAGGUGGAAAUAAUGGGAAAAAAAAAAUAUUUCCCAAUAUAUCACUUGUUUUGUGUGCUGUUGAUUUUGAAACAGGACUUCAGUUUGCCAGUUGAAUAUCAAAACGAUAUUCAUGGCCCAGUUGUCCGCUCUAAGUGGUUAAGAGCGACAUGUAUGAUCAGCCAGAGAGGUUAAGGGAGGCAACAACAAAUUGUGGGUUAGGGUACGAGGAAUAACACCAGAUGUUCCAGAUGCCCUGUUAAAUGUCUAAUUUGCAUCAAAACUUGACAACCUGAGAAAUGUAAAUGUUAAUUGACCCUAUAAUACAAAACGUAUCCUGUUUCUAAGGUUUUUCUCAAACAUCUACUGUAUCUAUGAAAUGUUAUACAUUGUCUAUAAAAAUGUUAAAUGAAAGUAAAAGUAUUAAUUGAUGUUAUGAAGUGUACCAUAUCCUUUUAUAAUGCUUGAAAAAUAUAUAUUUUUUCCUCAGAUAAUUACAUGGCCUUACAAGUCUGAUUAUGACACAAUACAAAAUUAGAAAACCA